rnacentral:rRNA from 1 species
AUACGGAGGACGCGAGCGUUAUCCGGAUUCAUUGGGUUUAAAGGGUGCGCAGGCGGCCGUGCAAGUCAGCGGUGAAAGCCCGGGGCUCAACCCCGGAAGUGCCGUUGAUACUGCAUGGCUGGAAUGCGGUCGAGGCGGGCGGAACGUGGCGUGUAGCGGUGAAAUGCGUAGAUAUGCCACAGAACGCCGAUAGCGGAGGCAGCUCGCCAGGCCUGCAUUGACGCUCGGGCACGAAAGCGUGGGGAUCGAACAGGAUUAGAUACCCUGGUAGUCCACGCCGUAAACGAUGGGCGCUCGUCGUCGGCGGCAGACAGUCGGCGGCCAAGUGAAAGCGAUAAGCGCCCCACCUGGGGAGUACGGUCGCAAGGCUGAAACUCAAAUGAAUUGACGGGG